rnacentral:rRNA from 1 species
UACGGAGGGGGCUAGCGUUGUUCGGAAUUACUGGGCGUAAAGCGUGCGCAGGCGGUUCGUUAAGUUCGUCGUGAAAGCCCCGGGCUCAACCUGGGAACUGCGAUGGAAACUGGCGGGCUUGAGUGUGGCAGAGGGGGGUGGAAUUCCGCGUGUAGCAGUGAAAUGCGUAGAGAUGCGGAGGAACACCGGUGGCGAAGGCGGCCAACUGGACCACAACUGACGCUGAGGCGCGAAAGCGUGGGGAGCAAACAGG